CCUACGGGUGGCAGCAGUGAGGAAUAUUGGUCAAUGGACGAGAGUCUGAACCAGCCAAGUAGCGUGAAGGAUGACUGCCCUAUGGGUUGUAGACUUCUUUUAUAUGGGAAUAAAAUGUUCCACGUGUGGGUUUUUGUAUGUACCCUAUGAUUAAGGAUCGGCUAACUCCGUGCAAGCAGCCGAGGUAAUACGGAGGAUCCGAGCGUUAUCCGGAUUUAUUGGGUUUAAAGGGAGCGUAGGUGGAUUGUUAAGUCAGUUGUGAAAGUUUGCGGCUCAACCGUAAAAUUGCAGUUGAAACUGGCAGGCUUGAGUACAGUAGAGGUGGGCGGAAUUCGUGGUGUAGCGGUGAAAUGCUUAGAUAUCACGAAGAACUCCGAUUGCGAAGGCAGCUCACUGGACUGCAACUGACACUGAGGCUCGAAAGUGUGGGUAUCAAACAGGAUUAGAUACCCGAGUAGUC
rnacentral:rRNA from 1 species